rnacentral:rRNA from 1 species
UGGAGUAUGUGGUUUAAUUCGACGCAACGCGCAGAACCUUACCUAGACUUGACAUCCCGGGGAUUUUCUGGAAACAGAGAAGUGCUUUAGCAAUAAAGAACCCGGUGACAGGUGCUGCAUGGCUGUCGUCAGCUCGUGUCGUGAGAUGUUGGGUUAAGUCCCGCAACGAGCGCAACCCUCGCCUUUAGUUGCCAGCAUUCAGUUGGGCACUCUAGAGGGACUGCCGGUGUCAAACCGGAGGAAGGUGGGAUGACGUCAAGUCCUCAUGGCCUUUAUGUCUAGGGCUACACACGUACUACAAUGGCCGGUACAAAGGGCAGCCACUCAGCGAUGAGGCGCUAAUCCCAUAAAGCCGGUCUCAGUCCGGAUCGCAGUCUGCAACUCGACUGCGUGAAGUUGGAAUCGCUAGUAAUCGUAGAUCAGCAUGCUACGGUGAAUACGUUCCCGGGCCUU